rnacentral:rRNA from 1 species
UACGUAGGGUCCGAGCGUUGUCCGGAAUUAUUGGGCGUAAAGGGCUCGUAGGCGGUUUGUCACGUCGGGAGUGAAAACUCAGGGCUCAACCCUGAGCGUGCUUCCGAUACGGGCAGACUAGAGGUAUGCAGGGGAGAGCGGAAUUCCUGGUGUAGCGGUGGAAUGCGCAGAUAUCAGGAGGAACACCGGUGGCGAAGGCGGGUCUCUGGGCAGUAACUGACGCUGAGGAGCGAAAGCGUGGGGAGCGAACAGG